rnacentral:rRNA from 1 species
UACGUAGGGACCGAGCGUUGUCCGGAAUCAUUGGGCGUAACGAGCGUGUAGGCGGCCUUUUAAGUCCUGCGUGAAAUCCUGCGGCUCAACCGCAGACGGUCGUGGGAAACUGGAAGGCUAGAGUGCGGGAGAGGAGAGUGGAAUUCCCGGUGUAGCGGUGAAAUGCGCAGAUAUCGGGAAGAACACCCGUGGCGAAGGCGGUUCUCUGGGACGGUACUGACGCUGAGACGCGAAAGCGUGGGGAGCGAACAGG